UCGGCUAAAUCCGUGCCAGCAGCCGCGGUAAUACGGAGGAUCCGAGCGUUAUCCGGAUUUAUUGGGUGUAAAAGGAGCGUAGACGGAAUUGCAAGUCUGAUGUGAAAAUCCGGGGCCCAACCCCGGAACUGCAUUGGAAACUGUAUUUCUAGAGUGUCGGAGAGGCAAGUGGAAUUCCUGGUGUAGCGGUGAAAUGCGUAGAUAUCAGGAGGAACACCAGUGGCGAAGGCGGCUUGCUGGACGAUGACUGACGUUGAGGCUCGAAAGCGUGGGGAGCAAACAGG
rnacentral:rRNA from 1 species